CGGUGAGUUAACUUUAGACGGCGGUGACGAUCAACAGUUCGAGGCCUCUGGGAAUUUUCCGGGCGGGUUGUGUUCCCACACCUUGACAUGUCAGCUCCACCGCAACCUGAGUACCUGAGGUGGAGUUAUAUCCUUUAGCACCCACCACUCCGACCCCCAUCUCCUUCUGUUUCACCCUUCCAUGUCAUCAUCAUCGCCCUAUUCAUCAAGUUAUCUCUUAAAAUCACAUACACAGUCUCACUCUUCUGAGUUAUACGUGAAAAUCGCCGCCGUUGUGCUCAAUUGCUCCGUAUAAAUCGAUCAUCAGAUGAAUAGGAAAGAAGGAACGAGUUCGACAUCGCCUAUUAAUUGCUCAAUUGUCAAGGUUAUUCCUUUGAAACACCAUUGUCAUGCUCAACAUCUUAUUCGCAUUUGUAUCUUGUGAAUAUUUCUACUUUUCUUAAAAGUACUUCAAUAUGAGUACAUGUCUAUUUUACUGAUCACAUUAUCUCCACCUCCUUCUAAUUUACAUAGAACAAAACUAUCAUCGCUUUUCAAAUGCUUUUGGGCCAAAAUUUCUGAAAGGGGAUAAAAUUAGCUUCAACCCAAAAUAUUAUAUGAUUUGAAAUAAAAUUGACAUAAUCUUUGUUCUUUUUGUGUUAAAUACAAUUAUAUACUUACCUCAAUUUUCAGGGAAAGAAUACUAUUGAUCUAUGAAAAGGACAAGACAAGAUCAAAGUUUCCUUAUUUCAGUUUCAGAAGAAUAUUUAUCUGGUUUUCUUGAAAGGUAAUGAUCUCAAUUCACAUACACUGGUAGAUUACAAAAUGAAAACUAAAUAAAAUCAACACUCAAUGUAAUCAUGUUUUAUAAAUACCUUCUUUAAAACAUUUAUUCCACAUUAAGUCUAAUACAAAAUUAGACAUUCAUACCUUUGAUUUAUGAUGUUAAUCUAACAUAAUGAUGCUAGAUUCUUAUAGAACUUAUUGAGAAACAUACUUCCAUGAUUAAUAAUAGAUAUCCUAACUUGUUUCAUAAGAUCAUCAAAUCAAAUAUUUAUAAACAAACUAUUAACAAAAACCAUCUUGAGGAUCAAAUCUUUAACAUGUUAAAUACAAUUUACCGAAAAUUAACCAAUCAUUCAAUAAAAUAUUUCUACAACCAAUAAAAACACGCAAACGAAUGAAUAAAUUCUUAUUAUAUAUGUUUUAUUCACGAUACAUUUAUUGCAGAGUGUCAUGCACCUUCAGAUAUCAAACAACUUUAUUCAGAAAUACACAAACAAAUCACACCACCAUCUGUAUUACUUAUCUUCCACCUCAUUCAACCAAAUCCCCUUAUCUCAACCACUUACAGACAUCCCUUCAACAAUAAAAAACUCAAAUCCAUUAAAAAAAACAAGCGUGACACUCUAAUUUGAAACAGAUAUUCCCACAUACCCAACUCCUAUAACAAAGAAAGCACCCGAUUGAAGCAACAGAUAAACAAACAUAUGAUCUUUCCCAAACAUCAUAUCAUAAAUAGCCACAUACAAAAGAAACAACCCCAUUAUCAACUCCGAGAAGUGAAGCCUGUUUUUUUUAUCAUACCAAAAUAUUAGCAUAUAAUCAUAUAUAUAUAUAUAUAUAUAUAUAUAUAUAUAUAUAUAUAUAUACACACACACACACACACACACACACAAAGGGUAUAAUCGUAGUUUUACAAUACCUUUCUCCAAAUCGCGAACGUGACUUCUUCAAUGGCUUCACAAUACUUUUAGGCUUUGUUGCAUUUCCUAGUUUUUCAGUCACAACCCAUUCAUUGACUCGAUUAGCUCCCAAAAGUCCAAUGAUUGUUGCUUUGGAUCGAUGAAAUGACAUGACAUUUUCAAACAAGAUCCAGAACACAAGAAGGUGUAAUGACCUGUAAGGGCAAAAUGGUAAAUUGGUGAUCAAACUAAAGGGGUAAAAUGGUCAUUUUGUGAUAAUACCUUAGGGUGCAUGAGGAGUUUAAGAUUGUAACGGUUGCUGGAACGUAUAUGGCUAUGAGUUUUGGGAGAUGGACUUCAGGAACCAUGAUGCUGACUGGGAUGAUGACACAGUAAAAGAAAAAGGUGACCCAAUGUGCAAUUAUCUUCCUCACAAAAAAGAACGCAUAGAUGACAUGGAAUUUCUUCCAGAUGGAUACCCUCUGCAUAAAGUUUGAAUCUUUAUCUCAAAAUCUCAAGGGUAUUAAGGUAAUUAAAAAGGUUUCUUGAAAUUUACCUCGCAGAAGAUUAUUUCUUUUGUCAUUUUUCUAAAAAGAUUAGCUGGACCACAUGACCACCUAUGCUGUUGAAAUCUAUACGCUUUGAAAGUACUCGGGAGUUCGUUUUUCACCUAUAUGUAAUCAUCAUAACAAUUCAUGAAAAGGGUAAUAUUGGAAAUACUGAAAAUAUUGGAAAUGAUACGAUUUACUCACCUCUAAGUCACCCACAAAGACAAAUUUCCAACCUUUUAGACUUGCUCUAACAGCAAGAUCCAUGUCUUCUACUGUGGUUCGAUCUUUCCAGCCACCAGCAUCUGCAAUAGCUCUUAUACGCCACACACCCGCAGUUCCUAAUUUUAUAUAACAAAAAAAAUUAUAAAAACUAAAAAAUUAUUUUCCACCUGUCAAAUAAAAUAAAAUAAAUAAAUAAUAACUUACUUACCAUUGAAUCCAAAGAAUUGACAAGUUGAUGACCCUACUUCUUGUUCAACAGCAAAAUGGUAGGCGAGUGACAUCUCUUGGAGUCGAGUCAUUAAACAUUCAUCAGCAUUUACUACAAACAACUUAUUUAUUUUUAGUAAUAAUGCUAUAUUUUAGUCGCAAAAUGGUAAAUAUUCAAGAAAUGAGUGACCCUUUUACCGAAUUUCCAUCGAGCCUGAACCAAAGCCAAUUCUGGAUUCUCAAGAAGGUAAGGUACAGAUCUCCAUAAAAAGUCUUCAUCUGGUUGAAAAUCUGCAUCAAAUAUGACAACAAAUUCGCAAUCGAAUACAUAAUCUUUUUUUAAUCCUUCACGAAGAGCACCAGCUUUGUAUCCAUUUCUGUUGUUUCUUGUCUCAUAUUUCACAUUUACCCCCCUCUGAAUCCACUUUUUACACUCCAACUCCACCAGUGCCUGUAUACAACUAAUAAGUUUCUUUCUACUUUAUAUAUUAUAGCUAACUCAUCACUAUUUUGAAACUAGAUUAAAUUACAAAAACAGUCCCUGUACUUUCUCAUUUUUACCAUUCUUAGUCCAAAAUCGAAACCCUUUUCAUUUUUUUGUCCUUAUCUAAACUUUCAUAUCGAUUUCGGUCCGUGUAAAUUGAAAAAACGGUUCAAGUCUUAAACAAGGUGAAAAUCUGAAAGCACGAGGGUAUAUUUGUAAUUUAGUAUUGAACUAUAAGUGUAGUUGUAGGGGUACCCUUAGGACUUCAUUGGUUGAGUCAUCAAGAACCUGAACAAUAAGACGAUCAGCUGGCCAUCUAAGUGAGCAUACAGCUCCAAUUGACAGCUUGUAGACCUGUAAAGAAAAUAAAAAUGGCAACAUGUAAAAUUAAUUUAAUUUACACAUAAAUAUUGUGUACAAAAAACAUGUGUAGAAUACCUCUUUUUCAUUGAACAUAGGUAUUUGAACCAACACCAUGGGGUAGCUUCUAUUUUGUUCAAGAUCUUCUUUGAGUGCUUCUAGUUUAUACUGAGUGUACUUUUUCUUUCCCAAAAACUUCACCAAAAGAACAACAAUAGUCAUGUACACACGUUCAACGAACAUCAUCAAAGACAUGACAGCACAAACACAGAUGGCAGCGGUCAAUGGCGGCAUCACCAUUGACACGCGUAUAUGCCGCCAGACAUCGGUGAAACUGCCUGUGAAAUCAUAGGCUGAUAAGACAUCGGGCUCUGUGCGAAAAAUGUUUCUCAUGGUGAAACGGAAGGAAGAAAGGAGUUAGGACUUAGGAGAUGGGUGGGGAUAAGGGUAGUGAGGAAGAUUGAAGGGUGUGCUUUAAAUAGAAAAUGGUAGAGGUUUUGUUGAAGAUGAUGAUGACAUGGAGGGUGACAUGGCGGUGGGCUUAGGUGGAAGAUUUUGGUGCAUUGAGUGAAUCGUUUAAUGAGGCAAGCUACGUGCAAGCAAAUGUGGUAUGAAGGAUCAAUAUUGUUAGCUGGAUUUCUCGCCUUUCUCGCCGACAAUGUUGUUGACAAUAUUCAACUCACGUAUUUCUAAUUAAGGUAAUGAAUUUAAGUUUUGUGAUUUACCAUAUACUACUACUAAAAAUGCUUGUUAAGCCCAUAAGCCAAAGUAGAUGGAAGUUUUAUAAGGCCUAAUUGUUAUUCCACCUCGUGCAUCUAUUAAUGUUUUGUCCCCUUAUUGUAGUGUAGGCCUUAGUUUCCUUUUAUAUGUUAGUGUUUUUCGUACAAUAUUUACCUUCUUACUGUUGUCCACUUUUAUAGAGCAUUCACAAUUGUGAGUUCAAUGAGAUAGUUGUGAGAUGGCAAGCCUAGUUGUCUUUUAAUGGAUUAAACUCUACAAUUGUGAGAUGCUACCUUGACAUUCAAUGGAUUUGGAGGUUUUUUUUGUUGAAAGGCUAACACAGACCCACUAAAUUCUACUCCUCGACUACUCUUUUUAUUCAUGACGAGACUCGAACCCUCAACUCUUUAGGGAAUACAUACAUUUUUAAAAUCCUUGGUACCGCUAGGCCAAAAGAGUUUAAUGACCAUUGAACUCUUCAAUGGAAAAAAUGAAAGUUUUCUCUUUCUUAAAUAAAUACUAUAAAUUAGCUUGUGUAAUGUUUUUAUUGAGCUUUGUAAAGUUGAAUGCAUUAUAGGAAAUCUUUCACGGAGUUAUAUGAAAUUUAGAAAUAUGAUGUGACAAUCUAUUGAACCCUAUGGAGUUCAAUGCAUUGUGGAUAUCCUUACAUCUUGUAGGAGCUAUUUGUUUUCUUACUUUUGUCCCCUAUAUAGUUUCAUUGCUUGUAUUUGUUUUUCUAAAAUCUAUACAUUCUUACUUUUAUCUAGGCGUGUCGAAAAAACCCGGAACCCGUUCUACCCACCCGACCCGUUCCGAAUUCGGGUAGAAUGGGUCGGGUAGAAUGGGUAAUGGGUAUGAACAUUCGGGUAAUAGGUUAACCCGAUAAUAAUAUAGGUCGGGUUUUAGGUAUGAAUAUUUAUUUUCGGGUAUACCCGAAUACCCGAAUUCGUUUUUUAAAUAAUAUCAAAUAUACAAUGCAGUCACGCACGCACACUUCAAAUAAAACAAAACUCUUCGUUUCCUUCUUAUGAACGACGGCUCGACAGCUGACACAAACUUGCAAAGGGAAUACGACACUGAAGCUGAAGUCCUGAACCGUCAUCACAAUUCUCAGUUUCUCUCUGUCGCACGUAAUGGAAUUAAAAAAAAGUACAUAACAUAUUAUAAUGAUUUGUAUUGUUAUUAUAGAUGUACUUGUUAAUUGUAUGGAGUAUUUUCCAACCCAAUUUUUUAUUAAACCAACCGACAUGUAAAGAAAAUAUCAAUAAGUGUCAUUUAAGAAAUUUUCGGGUAUACCCGAUAAUUACCCGACCCGACCUCAAACCCAAAUACCCGAAACCCGAAAACCCGAAUUACAAUAUAGGUCGAGUAUCGGGUAUUAUUUUCUUAACGAAAUACCCGUUCUACCCGACCCGUUCUACACGAAACCCGAAAAUUUUACCCGUUCGACACCCCUACUUUUAUCUCCUUUUUUACUUUCAACUUUAUAGUUUAUAUAUGCUUUCUUGUACUUGUGGUCUUUUCACUUUCAGUCUUUUANNNNNNNNNNNNNNNNNNNNNNNNNNUUCGCUUUCAUCUUUAAUGUUUCUAUAUGCUUUCCGUACAUUAUUUAUCUUUUUACGUUUGUCCCUUUUUUUACUUUCAACUUUAUUGUUUGUUUCUGUUUUAGUACAAUAUUUACCUUCUUACUUUUUUCCCCUUUUUACUUUCAACUUUAUUGCUCGUAUUUAUUUUCUUCUUACCUUUGUCCUAUUUUUGUUUUCAUUGUUAUUGUUUAUAUUUAUUUUUCAUACAAUAUUUACCCUCUUAACUUCAUCAUUUUUACUUUUAACUUUUCUUACAUUUGUCUUAUUUUUUUCUUUCAACAUUAUUGCCUAUUUUAUUUUUCAUAUAGUAUUUACCUACUUACUUUUCUUCAUUUUUACUUUCAACUUUAUUGCCCGUAUAUGCUUUCUUCUUACCUAUGUCUUAUUUUUUCUUUCAACGUUAUUGCUUANNNNNNNNNNNNNNNNNNNNNNNNNNNNNNNNNNNNNNNNNNNNNCUUUAUUACUUAUGUCAAUUUUUACUCUAAACUUUAUUGCUCGUAUAUGCUUUCUUAAUACCUUUAACGUUUUUUUGUUUUCAACAUUAUUGCUUUUAUUUAUUUUUCAUAUACCAAUUCCUUCUUAAUUUUGCCCUAUUUUUACUUUCAAAUGUAUUUCUUGUACCUUCUUACUUCUGUCUAUUUUUUACUUUUUGGUUUUAUUGUUUGUAACGACUUUUUUUCCUUACUUUUGUCCUCCAGUUACUUUCCGAUUUAUUAACUGUAUUUGUUUUUUGUACAAUAUUUAACUUUCUUACUUUUGUGUGUGUGUGUUUUUUUUACUUUCAACCUUAUUGUGUGUAUCUGUUUUCUUGUUUUUGUCUCAUUUUUUUUCCUUCUCUUCUUAUGUUUGUUAACUUUUCACUUUAAUCUUUAUUGCUUGUAUUGUUUUUCGUAUAUUAUUUACCUUCUUAUUUUGUUUUUUUUACUUUCAACUCUCUUGUUUAUAUUUGGUUUAGUAUAAUUUUUACAUUCUUAUUUUUGUCUCCUUUUGACUUUCAUCUUUGUUGCUUGUAUCUAUUUUUUUUUCUUACCUUUGUCUUGUUUUUGUUUUCAACGUUAUUUUUUAUAUUUAUUUUCAUAAAAUAUUUAAUUUUUUUUUACCUUUGUCUCCUUUUUACUUUCUAACUUUAUUGUUUGUGCUCGUUUUCUUCUUACUUUUUAUCCGUUUUUUACUUUCAACUUUCUUGCUUGUAUUUGUUUGUCAUACAUUAUUUACCUUCUUACUUUUAUCAUUUUUUACUAACAACUUUAUUGUUUGUAUCCACGUUUUCUUCUUAUCUUUGACCCAUUUUUGUUUUCAACGUUAUCGUUGAUAUUUAUUUUUUAUAAAAUAUUUACUUUCUUACUCUUGUCUCUUUUUUACUUUCAUGUUUACUUCUUGUACAUGUUUCUUCUUCCUUUUGUCUUUUUUCUACUUUCAGCUUUAUUGGUUGUUGCUGUUUUUCCUCUUAUUUUGUCCGGUAUUUACUUUCAGCUUUAAUGUUUAUAUUUUACUUUUCGUAUAAUAUUUACUUUCUUAUUUUUUUCUCAUUUUAUCUUAUAACAUUAGGGCCGUGAAAAAGUCUCAAUAUUUUAGGUCAGUUUACGAUUUAGUCCCAAAUUAAAUUUUGUUUACAAAAAAGGACAGAUUACCGGCUAAAACUUUGAAUUAACCCUUCGUGGCCGGUUUCAUAGAUUUAGCCGGUAUCUCGUUUUUUUUCGUUAGUUAAUUCAAAUUUUGGGGCUUUUUCAUUAAUUAAUCAAAAUUUUAGGGCUUUUUAAUUAUUUAUUACCAAUAAACCAAAAUAUUUGGACUUUUCUGAAGAAUAUCUUUAAGCUAAUAUAUAUUAUAUGAUCUAAUUUAAUAUGUACUAUUCCAUAUCUUUUUUCUUAUGCUCUUCUAGGCUCACCGUGUGUUUUUAUCGGUGUCGUCAAACCCAACAACAAAAAUCUCACUCACAAGCCUCGUUAACUCAAUCAAUUUUCCAAAAUUAUCCAUUCACAACUUUAUGAUCAUCUUUCAAUCUCCAAAUAAAGAACGGAGAAAAUCCUUGUUGAUUACGUGGAUGUCCCUAUUACCUAACCAUGACUUAAACUGUGGUUCCAACACUUGGAUGUUCCUAUUACCUAAUCAUGACUUAAACCCAUACACUAAUGGCGUUGUACAUAGUGUUGUUAACAAUAGAAGACGAAUCUCACAUGUUCAACCACUGAUACAUUGGCUCAAGUCUUACUAGACCCUUGUUUCCUUACAACACUGUAGAAGCCCCAACAAAAGAUGAAUCCCACAUGGUUCAUCAUUUAUUGGUUUUUUUAUCAAAAAGUAAAGCAUUUUGGAAGCCCAAAUAGACUAAAACGUAAUAACGACAAUUAUUGUAAUAUCACACCAAUUGUCAUUAUGACUUAAACGUAACAUCACAACAAUUGUCAUUAUUACAUUUUAGUCUAUUUAGGGCUUCCAGAAUGCAUUAGUUUUUGGCAAGACAAAAACCAAUAAAUGAUGAAAUUUUUGAUAAAGAUCGGAACACAAUCUUAUUGAUGGAUCCAAGAGCUCCUUAUCGUCCCAAGCCUUUUUCUCCUCAAUCUUCUUCUAAAAAAUGCACUAUAAUAUGCAAUAUCAGCCCCUCUUUCUCUCCUACAAGCAUAUAGCUCAAUUAGGGUUUCUCUCAGAGUGUUAAGAUGAUAAGGGGGCGGAAAUGAAGGCUUAAAGUCCUUUAAAUAGGACACAAACCCUGAAAAUUAGGGUUUUCACACUCAGCUCCUACUCUUCGAGUUGGGGUCCUCCAACUCGUCGAGUAGACUCUAGAAAUUACGCGACCAUUAACACUAUCUACUUGACAAGUUGAGGCCUCCAACUCGUCAAGUUGAUAAGACAACAAGAAUAUAAAUUAAUUAAAUAUUAUACCGGAGAGUCGGGAUGUUACACCUAUUGUAAGGAAACAAGGGUCAAGUAAGACUUGAGCCAAGGUAUCAGUGGCUAAACCAUGUGGGAUUCAUAUUUUGUUGUUAACAAAACUAUGGGCAAUGCCAUUAGUGUGUGGGUUCGAAAUAAGGUUCGAGUCAUGGUUAGGUAAUAGGAACAUCCGAGUGUUGGAACCGUAGCUCGUAGGUAUACCAAAUUAAUAUUUUAAUAGUUUAUGAUGGAUAGCUUGUUGACAUUUUUUUACAAUUAGAGUUAACAUUCUCCAUGGUUUUCAAUACAUAAUAUCGAGUUGAUUUUUUUAACCUAUGUUGAGUUUCUUAAGCUUAAUGGUUCAUUCUUCAUGGUUUUCCAGCCCUAUUGUAAGGAAACAAGGGUAAUGUAAGACUUGAGCCAAGGUAUCAGUGGUUAAACUAUGUGGGAUUCAUAUUUUGUUGUGAACAACACUAUGGACAAUGCGAAUAGUGUAUGGGUUCGAAAUAGGAUUCAAGUCAUGGUUAGGUAAUAGGAACAUCCAAGUGUUGCAACCACGGUUUAAGUCAUGGUUAGGUAAUAGGGACAUCCACGUAAUCAACAAGGAUUUCUCCGUUCUUUAUUUGGAGAUUGAAAGAUGAUCAUAGAGUUGUGAAUGGAUAAUUUUGGAAAAUCGAUGGAGUUAACGAGGCUUGUGAGUGAGAUUUUUGUUGUUGGGUUUGACGACACCGAUAAAAACACACGGUGAGCCUAGAAGAGCAUAAGAAAGAAGACAUGGAAUAGUACAUAUUAAAUUAGAUCAUAUAAUAUAUAUUAGUUUAAAGGUAAUCUUUAGAAAAGUCUGAAUAUUUUGGUUUAUUGGUAAUAAAUAAUGAAAAAAACCUAAAAUUUUGAUUAAUUAAUUAAAAAGCCCCAAAAUUUGGAUUAAUUAACAAAAAAAGACGAGAUACCAGCUAAAUCUGUGAAACCGGCCACGAAGGGUUAUUUCGAAGUUUUAGCCGGUAAUCUGUCCUUUCUUGUAAACAAAAUUUAAUUUGGGACUAAAUCGUAAACUGGCCUAAAAUAUUGAGAUUUUUUUGCAGAUUUCCCUCUAACAUUAUUGCUCUUAUUACUUUCUUCUUACUUUUGUCCUAUAUUUGCUUUCAACGUCAUUUCUUAUUUCUUNNNNNNNNNNNNNNNNNNNNNNNNNNNNNNNNNNNNNNNNNNNNNNNNNNNNNNNNNNNNNNNNNNNNNNNNNNNNNNNNNNNNNNNNNNNNNNNNNNNNNNNNNNNNNNNNNNNNNNNNNNNNNNNNNNNNNNNNNNNNNNNNNNNNNNNNNNNNNNNNNNNNNNNNNNNNNNNNNNNNNNNNNNNNNNNNNNNNNNNNNNNNNNNNNNNNNNNNNNNNNNNNNNNNNNNNNNNNNNNNNNNNNNNNNNNNNNNNNNNNNNNNNNNNNNNNNNNNNNNNNNNNNNNNNNNNNNNNNNNNNNNNNNNNNNNNNNNNNNNNNNNNNNNNNNNNNNAUAUACUAGCCGUCUACCCGCGCAAAGCGGCGGGCGGCGAAUAAUUUGAUCUCUUUAGAGUUAAAACCAUUUUGCGUUCACUUCGAGAAAUGAAUAUUAAAUGACAUCUAUUUUUCAAGAGCAUUACCAUACCAUAUUAAGGGGGUGUUUGGCUAAGCUUUUUUAAAACAACUUAUUAGGUUCCACAUCACUAUAAGUUAAAAAAGUGUUUGGAUUAAAAUAACUUAUUCCGGUGGGGAACCUCUAAUACGUCAUUUUUUCAUAAGUUACCCUACACUUACUUAUUAACUUAUAAGCUAAUAAACUAAUAAGCAAUAAGUUUUUUUGCCAAACACCCCCUAAAUGGUUAUUACUUCCAUUUAUACAUACCCAAACCACUUGUAUUGUUUAUCGUCAUCUUUGUUUUUUUCGUUUUCCUUAAUUCCUUUAUUAAUUUAAUGUCCUACUAAGUAAAAUGCUAAAAUAUAUAAAUAAUAAUUUAUAAAAAUAAACCUUUAGAAUAUCAGGUGUUGUGAUUCAAAAGUCGAUAAAUAGGCCUUUGAGAAGGCUAAAAUACUCAGGUGUCAACUUGUUCAUUGUGAUUUUAAACCAAGUUUGGUCACAAAUUAAAACAUUUUCAACGAUGGUAUGUAAUUCAAGGAUUCAUAUUGAUUUAGGUUCUCGAAACCUUAAAAUAUUGAACAAAAUCUAUAUAGAACCUUAUAAUAAGGACAAUAAUCACCGUAAUCAGGAAGUCCAUGUGAUGAAACUUGAUAUUAUAAGGACCAAUGAUGAAAAAGGUUUCAUUUUUAGACUAAACAAGAUGAAAAAUAUACAAACUACCUUAAUCAUGUCAAAUCUUGUGUUUAACCGUUCUUUAUUGCAAAAGUAAGAUGUCAAAAUAUACAAACUAAUGAUAAUACAAUGCUCUAACUGACCCUCUUGGUUGAGUUCUUUGAACCUAAACCAACACAUUAAAGAAACAUAGUGAAAACCUUUUAGGAACAAACCUGAUAUAAUAAAGUCUUCACCCAAUAUAUUUAUAAGAUAAAAAUACAAAAAGUUAAAAAUGAUGAAAUCAAUUACAAGUAAGGAUUAAAAUAAAAACUUGUUAAGAAAGAGCCAUCUGCAGAAGGAAUAUUUGAAUCAACAUGUAUUUUCUGAUGGUUUCAAAUUUUGAAAUAUCUGAAAUUCAGGGAAGGAGAUAGAAUUUGUUGAGAAAUAUAAGGAUUCAAAACACAAGUUAAAAUUUAAUAUUAUUUUAUGGAUGACUAGUUGUAUUAUUAGCUUAAUGAUUUGAACGUCUUAAAAAAAUAAUAUUAUUAUAUUCAAUCUAUUUUUAGAAAUAGUGGGAUUUCUUUUAUUGUUUGUAUCUGUUUUCUUUUUACUUUUGUCCCUUUUUACUUUCAACUUAUUACUCGUAUCUAAUAUUUGUAUAUUAUUUUUCUUCAUACUUUUUCCUCCCCACACAUGUUACCUUCUUAUUAAUUGGUUUCCCGUUUCCGUAUAUUUGAUUUUUUUUUGAAUGGGAAAUUCAAUAAUAUACUAAACUACUCCUAAAUUAUUCCACCUAUGUCAACAGUGGGACUUGAACCCUCGACCUCAAGAACGAAGGACAAUACCGAAUAUCGCUAGGCUAGAAGCCCUUUGGUCUUUCCAUAUGUUUGAUACUUGAUGAUUUUCUUUGUGUGUUCAUCACAUGUGUUAAUUAUUGUAUUUCUAAAUACUUUAGUUAGAUGUUAACACAACUAUAAACUCUAUUUCAAUGAAGUAAAUAUUUUAGAGGGUAGUACAAAUAUAAAUAGAAAAUUUUAAAACGACUUGCUGUAUUUUUGUCGUAAAUGCGAAAUUCAUUGCGUUAUCUACACGCUUACGUAGUCGCUUAAAAUUAGACAUAUCUAUUUUUAGUUGAUGUUUACGUGGAGCACAUGAUUAGUGUGCAUUCAAGUUUGAUAACGCCAUCAAAAGUCUAAUUCUUCAUUUUCUUUGCCAG
rnacentral:lncRNA from 1 species